rnacentral:rRNA from 1 species
AGAGUUUGAUCCUGGCUCAGAGUUAACGCUGGCAGCGUGCAUAACACAUGCAAGUCGAGCGGGACUGUUUGAGAUUACAUCAAGAGCAGUUUAGCGGCAGACGAGUGAGUAACACGUAAGAAAUCUGCCCUGAAGUAGGGAACAACUCGCCGAAAGGCGAGCUAAUACCCUAUAUAAUCCCUAGAUGGCAUCAUUCUAGG